UCCAGUCUCCCCUCCUCUAUUCUCUCAUGUACAUUGCCUAAACCUCUCAGAGUUUCAUCAUAACAAUGACAGCAUUGCCUCCAUCAUGACCACAAGUAUUUUAAUCUUCCCUCUUAAUUCUAUCUAUUUAAAGUCCCCUUCUUAUUUACUUUUGUGGACUGCUUGGUUCCAAAACAGUGCCUAGAAAAAGUAAAGGUGCAUAAAGCUCAGGAGGAAAAGUUGGUGAAGAGACUUCAAGGAGAAAAGUGUACAGAACUAAAAUUGUGGAUACUAUUGGCAUAUGGAUUUGCACCUCUUCACUGAACUCAAAGGACACUCCAUUCUCCUGGAGAGGUGGAGGUGCCUGCUCUUACCAGCUGAGUUCUGCUCUAUCCGCAAUGGUGGCUAGAGUGCCAUAUUCAAGAAGGUAAGAAGCACAGAAGAGCUAGCAGGAGGGCUGCUCUGCACGUGCAUAGGAGGAACAGGAGCAGGUUCACACCUAGGUGAAGAACUUCCCCAGGUCCUUGUGCUUCUCUGUCCUACUAGACAUCUGGGGCCUUGUGAUUCUUGUCAAAAUCUGUGAGAGUUUGCUCACACAGGCCCUGCACACUCUCCUCUGUGAGGAGGGUCUCACACCUACACCGAGGGUCAGGUAAAAAGACUGUCUAGGAGCCCCACUUCCAGUGAGCCCAGCUAGAUAGCUCACUUUCACAGAACCAAACUUUUCACUGUUGGGUAGUUAAGUGAGUUUCUUCAAAGAGCCUCUACAUUGCUAUUUCGGAAACUGCUUAAUUUUAAGUAAUUCAGUUCCUAAAUUUCAUUUAAUAGAGAACAUAUUUCAUGCUCGAAUCUAAAUUGCAUAUCAAUAAGUCAUAGUCUGUUUCCUGCCCACCCCAGGAUUUCAUUAUCUAUAAGUUUUAUCACUGGGACCAUUUCCAAACACGAACCAAAGAGUUUUUAUUAUUAGUAGGGCUGAGCAUCAUUUUGUGUUUGCUGGUUUUCUUUUUAGUCAUUGUGAUUCU